rfam:Triticum aestivum genome assembly, contig: Triticum_aestivum_CS42_TGACv1_scaffold_405155_5BL
AAUAUACUCCCUCCAUUCCAAAUUACUUGUCACAAAAAUGAAUAGAAAUGGAUGUAUCUAAAACAAAAAUGCAUCUAGAUACAUCCAUUUAUACAACUAGUAUUUUCGAACGAAGGGAGUACAUU